rnacentral:rRNA from 1 species
AAUGAAUGUUGGCGGUGCGCCUAACACAUGCAAGUCGAGCGAGAGUAGUCUAGCGGCGAACGGGUGAGUAACGCGUGAGAAUCUGCCCUUCAGUGAGGAAUACCUUCAAGAAAUUGGAGUUAAUACUGCAUACGUCCCUUCGGGGAGAAAGAUGGCCUCUUUGCUAUCGCUGAAGGAUGAGCUUGCGUACUAUUAGCUAGUUGGUAGGGUAAUGGCCUACCAAGGCGAUGAUGGUUAGCCGGCCUGAGAGGGUGAUCGGCCACAUUGGAACUGAGACACGGUCCAG